UACAGAGGUGGCAAGCGUUGUUCGGAAUUACUGGGCGUAAAGGGCGAGUAGGCGGCCUUCUAAGUCAGACGUGAAAUCCCCCAGGCUCAACCUGGGAACUGCGUCUGAUACUGGAUGGCUUGAAUCCGGGGAGAGGGAUGCAGAAUUCCAGGUGUAGCGGUGAAAUGCGUAGAUAUCUGGAGGAAUACCGGUGGCGAAGGCGGCAUCCUGGACCGGCAUUGACGCUGAGGAGCGAAAGCCAGGGGAGCAAACGGG
rnacentral:rRNA from 1 species